rnacentral:rRNA from 1 species
UUGAACGCUGGCGGAAUGCUUUACACAUGCAAGUCGAACGGCAGCACGGGGGCAACCCUGGUGGCGAGUGGCGCACGGGUGAGUAAUACAUCGGAACGUGUCCUAGGGUGGGGGAUAGCCCGGCGAAAGCCGGAUUAAUACCGCAUACGCUCGAAAGAGGAAAGUGGGGGAUCGUAAGAUCUCACGCCCAAGGAGCGGCCGAUGCCGGAUUAGCUUGUUGGUGAGGUAAAAGCUCACCAAGGCGACGAUCCGUAGCUGGUCUGAGAGGACGACCAGCCACACUGGGACUGAGACACGGCCCAGACUCCUACGGGAGGCAGCAGUGGGGAAUUUUGGACAAUGGGGGAAACCCUGAUCCAGCCAUUCCGCGUGAGUGAAGAAGGCCUUCGGGUUGUAAAGCUCUUUCGG